AUUGAACGCUGGCGGCAGGCUUAACACAUGCAAGUCGAGCGGAGAUGAGGUGCUUGCACCUUAUCUUAGCGGCGGACGGGUGAGUAAUGCUUAGGAAUCUGCCUAUUAGUGGGGGACAACAUUCCGAAAGGAAUGCUAAUACCGCAUACGUCCUACGGGAGAAAGCAGGGGAUCUUCGGACCUUGCGCUAAUAGAUGAGCCUAAGUCGGAUUAGCUAGUUGGUGGGGUAAAGGCCCACCAAGGCGACGAUCUGUAGCGGGUCUGAGAGGAUGUUCCUCCACAAGGGGACGGAGACACGGCCCGGACUCCUACGGGGGGCAGCAGUGGGGAAUAUUGGACAAUGGGGGGAACCCUGAUCCAGCCAUGCCGCGUGUGUGAAGAAGGCCUUAUGGUUGUAAAGCACUUUAAGCGAGGAGGAGGCUACUGAGACUAAUACUUUUGGAUAGUGGACGUUACUCGCAGAAUAAGCACCGGCUAACUCUGUGCCAGCCGCCGCAGUAAAAC
rnacentral:rRNA from 1 species